GACGAACGCUGGCGGCGUGCUUAACACAUGCAAGUCGAACGGAAAGGCCCUGCUUUUGUGGGGUGCUCGAGUGGCGAACGGGUGAGUAACACGUGAGUAACCUGCCCUUGACUUUGGGAUAACUUCAGGAAACUGGGGCUAAUACCGGAUAGGAGCUCCUGCUGCAUGGUGGGGGUUGGAAAGUUUCGGCGGUUGGGGAUGGACUCGCGGCUUAUCAGCUUGUUGGUGGGGUAGUGGCUUACCAAGGCUUUGACGGGUAGCCGGCCUGAGAGGGUGACCGGCCACAUUGGGACUGAGAUACGGCCCAGACUCCUACGGGAGGCAGCAGUGGGGAAUAUUGCACAAUGGGCGGAAGCCUGAUGCAGCAACGCCGCGUGCGGGAUGACGGCCUUCGGGUUGUAAACCGCUUUCGCCUGUGACGAAGCGUGAGUGACGGUAAUGGGUAAAGAAGCACCGGCUAACUACGUGCCAGCAGCCGCGGUGAUACGUAGGGUGCGAGCGUUGUCCGGAUUUAUUGGGCGUAAAGGGCUCGUAGGUGGUUGAUCGCGUCGGAAGUGUAAUCUUGGGGCUUAACCCUGAGCGUGCUUUCGAUACGGGUUGACUUGAGGAAGGUAGGGGAGAAUGGAAUUCCUGGUGGAGCGGUGGAAUGCGCAGAUAUCAGGAGGAACACCAGUGGCGAAGGCGGUUCUCUGGGCCUUUCCUGACGCUGAGGAGCGAAAGCGUGGGGAGCGAACAGGCUUAGAUACCCUGGUAGUCCACGCUGUAAACGGUGGGUACUAGGUGUGGGGUCCAUUCCACGGGUUCCGUGCCGUAGCUAACGCUUUAAGUACCCCGCCUGGGGAGUACGGCCGCAAGGCUAAAACUCAAAGGAAUUGACGGGGCCCCGCACAAGCGGCGGAGCAUGCGGAUUAAUUCGAUGCAACGCGUAGAACCUUACCUGGGUUUGACAUGGAUCGGGAGCGCUCAGAGAUGGGUGUGCCUCUUUUGGGGUCGGUUCACAGGUGGUGCAUGGCUGUCGUCAGCUCGUGUCGUGAGAUGUUGGGUUAAGUCCCGCAACGAGCGCAACCCUUGUUCACUGUUGCCAGCACGUUAUGGUGGGGACUCAGUGGAGACCGCCGGGGUUAACUCGGAGGAAGGUGGGGAUGACGUCAAGUCAUCAUGCCCCUUAUGUCCAGGGCUUCACGCAUGCUACAAUGGCUGGUACAGAGAGUGGCGAGCCUGUGAGGGUGAGCGAAUCUCGGAAAGCCGGUCUCAGUUCGGAUUGGGGUCUGCAACUCGACCUCAUGAAGUCGGAGUCGCUAGUAAUCGCAGAUCAGCAACGCUGCGGUGAAUACGUUCCCGGG
rnacentral:rRNA from 1 species